UACACUGGAGGAACUUGGUGUGGAGGGGGAAGUUUUUUUGACUAAUAAAAAACGCAUCCCUUUGAGGCGGUAUACUACGCAACCAAUGGCGCCACCACUUUCAUGAAAAAAGCAUUAGAGGAUUUCUCCAUGUCAGUAAUAGCCCAAGAGGAAACCCAACAUCGAAGCGAGAAACCAGCUGUGAAAAAGUGUCACGAUUUCCUUAUGGCUGUCCAGACCCUGUUGAAUACAAAAUACACUUGGUGUAUGCAACAAUUGAAGACAUUAGAAGACAUGUUUGUCCAAUCCCUUUGGAAUAGGCUAGUGCAUCGAAUCCUCCAGCUCCACUAGGCCUACACGUUCCCGCUGCACCACUGAAGUCUCCGGCUUCUGCACCACUGAAGUUGUCUCUGACUCCUGCACCACUGAAUUUGUCUCUUGCUGGACCAUCCCCUGCCUCUGCGCCAAAGUGGGCACCAGUCUCAAACCCCCAACAAAUGCAAAAGGGCAACUUGAAGACAUUUGCAUCCACAUCUGAAGCACCCCAGUGGUUUGAGCAGCAUGUCACUGAGCAGAGGAGGCAGAUGUCGGAACUCAUGGUCCUGCAAAAACAAGCAAUGGAAGUGGCAAGUGAAAGGAAUGACAUCUUAAAACAAUUUUCUUUAACGAAGAAAAAAUAGGAACUUAUUCCCACAUUCUGCUGAUGGCUUAGGUUCUAUUUUGUUUGUUUACUGGCAUGAUUCAUGGCAUGAUGUAGUCUA